AUCUCCCUGGAAUGUGCGUAUCGUGAUUAGUUGUUGAAUCCGAACAUUUCUGAUAAGGGAAUCUGGUGUUCUAAUACUGUGUUGAAUGCCCAACUGCUUGUUGAGAAUCCUAAUGUAUUAGACAGGAUACCCACCUGCUGCAAAGCGGGUUUUUAUCCUAACACCUACGGCACUCUGGGGAAUUA
rnacentral:other from 1 species